GACGAACGCUGGCGGCGUGCCUAAUACAUGCAAGUCGAACGCAGUGGGGACGGGUGAGUAACACGUGGGUAACCUCCCAUCAGAGGGGAUAACACUUGGAAACAGUUGCUAAACCGAUAUUUAUGGAUUGUCCCUCGGGGCAUUAGCUAGUUGGUGAGGUAACGGCUCACCAAGUCCACGAUGCAUAGCCGAGCUGAGAGGGUGAUCGGCCACACUGGGACGGAGACACGGCCCAGACUCCUACGGGAGGCAGCAGUAGGGAAUCUUCGGCAAUGGACGAAAGUCUGACCGAGCAACGCCGCGUGAGUGAAGAAGGUUUUCGGAUCGUAAAACUCUGUUGGUAGAGAAGCGGUAACUAAAGAGAAAGCCACGGCUAACUACGUGCCAGCAGCCGCGGUAAGAG
rnacentral:rRNA from 1 species